rnacentral:rRNA from 1 species
AUAGCCUUUCGAAAGAAAGAUUAAUACCGGAUAGCAUACGAAUAUCGCAUGAUAUUUUUAUUAAAGAAUUUCGGUUAUCGAUGGGGAUGCGUUCCAUUAGUUUGUUGGCGGGGUAACGGCCCACCAAGACAACGAUGGAUAGGGGUUCUGAGAGGAAGGUCCCCCACAUUGGAACUGAGACACGGUCCAAACUCCUACGGGAGGCAGCAGUGAGGAAUAUUGGUCAAUGGGCGAGAGCCUGAACCAGCCAAGUAGCGUGAAGGAUGAAGGCUCUAUGGGUCGUAAACUUCUUUUAUAUGGGAAUAAAGUAUUCCACGUGUGGAAUUUUGUAUGUACCAUAUGAAUAAGGAUCGGCUAACUCCGUGCCAGCAGCCGCGGUAAUACGGAGGAUCCGAGCGUUAUCCGGAUUUAUUGGGUUUAAAGGGAGCGUAGGUGGAUUGUUAAGUCAGUUGUGAAAGUUUGCGGCUCAACCGUAAAAUUGCAGUUGAAACUGGCAGUCUUGAGUACAGUAGAGGUGGGCGGAAUUCGUGGUGUAGCGGUGAAAUGCUUAGAUAUCACGAAGAACUCCGAUUGCGAAGGCAGCUCACUAGACUGUCACUGACACUGAUGCUCGAAAGUGUGGGUAUCAAACAGGAUUAGAUACCCUGGUAGUCCACACAGUAAAC